UGGGGAAUUUUGGGCAAUGGGCGAAAGCCUGACCCAGCAACGCCGCGUGAAGGAUGAAGUAUUUCGGUAUGUAAACUUCGUAAGAAUAGGAAGAAUAAAUGACGGUACUAUUUGUAAGGUCCGGCUAACUACGUGCCAGCAGCCGCGGUAAUACGUAGGGACCAAGCGUUGUUCGGAUUUACUGGGCGUAAAGGGCGCGUAGGCGGUGUGUCAAGUCAGUUGUGAAAUCUCCGAGCUUAACUCGGAACGGUCAACUGAUACUGUCACACUAGAGUACAGAAGGGGCAAUCGGAAUUCUUGGUGUAGCGGUGAAAUGCGUAGAUAUCAAGAGGAACACCUGAGGCGAAGGCGGGUUGCUGGGCUGAUACUGACGCUGAGGCGCGAAAGCUAGGGUAGCAAACGGGAUUAGAUACCCUGGUAGUUCCUGAGCGGGCUGGCAAGGCGCAU
rnacentral:rRNA from 1 species